GCACCUGAGUCUUCCCUAUUGCUCGCUGUGCAUUGCAGAUCUGGGGGCAGUUGGUGCACAGCAAUGGAAAUCCAGAUGGGUUGUUCUCCACUGGUUUGAAUCUCUUUCCUACACCUCUGCGACAUUU